rnacentral:lncRNA from 1 species
UUGUUUUUUUAAGGGUAUUUCAGGUCAAGAAUGGCAAUGCUUCCUUCAUUUGCAAGAAAUUGGUUUUCAUUCUUUUCUUAUGUUUUCAUGUUUUCCCCUAUUCUUUCAUAGGUCAUUUGCAUGAAAUAUCAUAUUUUGUCUAGCCAUAACCCUGUCAUUUGGCCAAGACUGGAUUUCCUAGCCUGACACUAACAAUCUUCAGCUUCUUACCAUAUGCUUACUGUCUGUCACUUUGCCAUAUUCAUUUUAAUGGCAGUUAAAAGUUUUACUUGUUCUGGUUUGCAUCUUUUGUCAUCCAUUUUACACUUUUAAUCUAACCUCAUUUCCUUCAGCUAUUUCUUGGUUCUGGUCUCCUCAUCUUCCAAAGUCUCUUCUAGCAAUGGCAUUCAAUCUCAAUGCAUAAGUCUCUCUCCAUGUGUAUAAAUAUAGCUGCAUAUUAUGCAUGUGUGCGUUUAAGCAUGCAGCGCACAGCAUGUUAUAGACAUGUAGGUAUAUUUAAGCAUGCAGCACACAGCAUGUUAUAGACAUGUAGGUAUAUUUAAGCAUGCAGCACACAGCAUGUUAUAGACAUGUAGGUAUAUUUAAGCAUGCAGCACACAGCAUGUUAUAGACAUGUAGGUAUAUUUAAGCAUGCAGCACACAGCAUGUUGUGGACAUGUAGGUAUAUUUAAGCAUGCAGCACACAGCAUGUUAUGGACAUGUAGGUAUAUUUAAGCAUGCAGCACACAGCAUGUUAUGGACAUGUAGGUAUACUUAAGCAUGCAGCACACAGCAUGCGAACUUGACUCAUUUUAAAAACUUCACCUGCAGACAAUUCACAUACAAAGCAGUUUUGGGAAGUCAAGCCAAAAGUAAAAAACAAACAAACAAAAAACAGUGCUAAAUGUCAAGUCCUACAAGAAUCCUGUGCAGCCCAGCCCUGGGGCCCAAGUUGCAGGACCCAGAAACUCGGCCUCUGAUUGUGCUUAAGCUUAUCUUUGAUUCUCCUGAAGUCUUUCGCAUUGAUGCAACCUACAUUCCCUUUUCUCCCAUUUAUUUUCUUAGACUAUCACGAUUUGACUUGACAUUUCCUAGUAGUGUGAUAGGUGGCUGCUAGCAGCCUGAUCACAAUGUUGCUGUGCAUAAGUCUCAGGCAUGAUUUAGUCAUUCAGAGCAUGUUGUAUGAAUGCAUGUGUCUCGGGCAUGAUUUAGUCAUUCAGAGCAUGUUGUAUGAAUGCAUAUGUCUCGGGCAUGAUUUAGUCAUUCAGAGCAUGUUGCAUUGUAUGAAGCAUUUAGAAAAUGACUUGAAUGUUCUUUGGUUUUUAUGUUUUCUCACCCAUUUGAGCCACUCUAUAUAUACAGUUAUUGAUCAUUUCUCCAAGAAGCAUUGCUUGUUAGUCUAUUAUUAUUGUCUAGACAGUUGUAGGUUUUUUGCAAUCUUGUUAUUGCUUAUAUACUUUUGCUAUAGUGAUUGCAAAUUUCAGAUAAAUGUUGAUGGUUUUCUAAGUCAGUUUGACAUUUUAGUUGCAUUUUGACUUACUCAAAAUGUUAAAGCAACUCGAGCUGUUGGUUUUUUUUUAGUAAACUAUAGCCAGGAUAAAUUCCAUAUUUCAUCCAAAUAAUCUGUAACAUUUCACAGUUAUUAACCUCAGUUAAAGUUUAAGGCCAUGAAUGUGACUUGUUUACCACAGUGUUGAUCAUCUUAAAGCUCAUGUACAGAUUAAACUUUUGUUUGCUGAAACUAGCACUUUCCAUUUCAUCUUUUGUACUUGCCAAUUUAAAAUAUUUUUUUUUUACCUUUGAAAGCUAACACAUUUUUCACUCAUUCAAUAGGGUGU